UACGUAGGGUGCAAGCGUUACUCGGAAUUACUGGGCGUAAAGCGUGCGCAGGCGGUUGUGCAAGACCGAUGUGAAAUCCCCGGGCUUAACCUGGGAAUGGCAUUGGUGACUGUACGGCUAGAGUGUGUCAGAGGGGGGUAGAAUUCCACGUGUAGCAGUGAAAUGCGUAGAGAUGUGGAGGAAUACCGAUGGCGAAGGCAGCCCCCUGGGACAACACUGACGCUCAUGCACGAAAGCGUGGGGAGCAAACAGG
rnacentral:rRNA from 1 species